CCUACGGGAGGCAGCAGUGAGGAAUAUUGGUCAAUGGCCGGGAGGCUGAACCAGCAAAGUCGCGUGAGGGAAGACGGCCCUACGGGUUGUAAACCUCUUUUGCCAGGGAGAAAGGUGCAGGUCGGGAUCUGCUGUGAGAGUACCCUAAGAACAAGCAUCGGCUAACUCCGUGCCAGCAGCCGCGGUAAUACGGCGGAUGCGAGCGUUAUCCGGAUUUAUUGGGGUUAAAGGGUGCGCAGGCGGGGGCACAAGGCAGCGGUAAAAUCGCGGGGCUCAACCCCGCUCCGCCGUUGAAACUGUGGCCCUUGAGUGCGCGAAGGGUAGGCGGAAUGCGUGGUGUAGCGGUGAAAUGCAUAGAUAUCACGCAGAACUCCGAUCGCGAAGGCAGCCUACCGGCGCGCAACUGACGCUCAUGCACGAAAGCGUGGGUAUCGAACAGGAUUAGAUACCCCAGUAGUC
rnacentral:rRNA from 1 species